CUUAUAUAAUUUUGUAAUCAUUUGUAUUUCUUCAUAACAAAUAUUUUAAACUUUGGAUCACAAAAUUUGAAUGUGAGGUUUUUAACAGUUUUAGUAAUUUAUAGUCGUUUUUAAAAAUUCAAAAUAUAACAUAUACAGAAAAAUCUAAAUUUUUAUUAUAUGGUUAUUGUGGUUGUUUAAUUUAUUUAAUAGUUUUAAAUUAAACAAAUAUGAUAGAAGAUACACUAAUUUUUUUUUAUCAAAUCUUUAUUAUUCAAAAUCAUUAAUUGCCAUAUAUACUUUAGCCACAUUAGGUAAUUCUGUAAAUUUUAUUAAAGGAAAUAAUAAAGUACAUUAAUGAUGAAUUUAUUGUUAGUUUAAUAAAAAGCUUAUUAUAUAAUUAGAUGGACCAACAUAUUUCUCUAAUGAUUCUAAGAAUCAACCUAGUGAUGACAUGUGGCUACAAAAAGAAGUUGUAAUGUUUCUCAAAUAAUAUAUAGGGGAU
rnacentral:lncRNA from 1 species